rnacentral:lncRNA from 1 species
UGUAAUUGUCACUUGUUUGCUCAUUUUGAGAAAUUUUUUUAAAAAAAUCCGUAUCAUAUCGGUAUCUUGGGCUGUCAAAAUUGGCUAACCCAAAUGGGCUAGCCCGUCAAACUCGAUUUUUUCGGGUCUGGGCCUUAAAAAUUCUAGCCUGGAUUGUUUUUGGGCUUUUUAGCCUAGCCCGUUAUAAUAUAAUUGUAUGUUUUUUUCCCAAAUUUUUUGCCAUUUUCCAGCUUUUUAAUUAGAAAAAUAAAAUAAAAUGCGGGCUAGCCCGAAAGCUCGAAGCCGGAAUAGGGCCAGAUUCGGACCAUACAUUUUUGGUCCCAUUUUUCAUCCGGGCUUUUUAGCUUGGCCCAAUGUAGUCCGUAGCUCGCUCNNN